GACGAACGCUGGCGGCGCGCCUAACACAUGCAAGUCGAACGAGCGAGAGAGAGCUUGCUUUCUCGAGCGAGUGGCGAACGGGUGAGUAACGCGUGAGGAACCUGCCUCAAAGAGGGGGACAACAGUUGGAAACGACUGCUAAUACCGCAUAAGCCCACGGUGCCGCAUGGCACAGAGGGAAAAGGAGCAAUCCGCUUUGAGAUGGCCUCGCGUCCGAUUAGCUAGUUGGUGAGGUAAUGGCCCACCAAGGCGACGAUCGGUAGCCGGACUGAGAGGUUGAACGGCCACAUUGGGACUGAGACACGGCCCAGACUCCUACGGGAGGCAGCAGUGGGGAAUAUUGCACAAUGGGGGAAACCCUGAUGCAGCGACGCCGCGUGGAGGAAGAAGGUCUUCGGAUUGUAAACUCCUGUUGUUGGGGAAGAUAAUGACGGUACCCAACAAGGAAGAGACGGCUAACUACGUG
rnacentral:rRNA from 1 species